AGAGUUUGAUCAUGGCUCAGAACGAACGCUGGCGGCAGGCCUAACACAUGCAAGUCGAGCGCCCGCAAGGGAGCGGCAGACGGGUGAGUAACGCGUGGGAACGUGCCCUUUGGUUCGGAAUAUUCCCGGGAAACUGGGAGCAAAACCGGAUAAGCCCUUCGGGGGAAAGUUUACGCCAAAGGAUCGGCCCGCGUUAGAUUAGGUAGUUGGUGGGGUAACGGCCUACCAAGCCUACGAUCUAUAGCUGAUCUGAGAGGAUGAUCAGCCACACUGGGACUGAGACACGGCCCAGACUCCUACGGGAGGCAGCAGUGGGGAAUCUUGGACAAUGGGCGCAGGCCUGAUCCAGCCAUGCCGCGUGGAUGACUGAAGGCCCUAGGGUUGUAAAGUCCUUUCGACGGGGACGAUAAUGACGGUACCCGUAGAAGAAGCCCCGGCUAACUUCGUGCCAGCAGCCGCGGUAAUACGAAGGGGGCUAGCGUUGUUCGGAUUUACUGGGCGUAAAGGGCGCGUAGGCGGAUUUUUAAGUCGGGGGUGAGAUCCCGGAGCUCAACUCCGGAACUGCCUUCGAUACUGAAAGUCUGGAGCACGGUAGAGGUGAGUGGAAUUCCGAGUGUAGAGGUGAAAUUCGUAGAUAUUCGGAGGAACACCAGUGGCGAAGGCGGCUCACUGGACCGUUGCUGACGCUGAGGCGCGAAAGCGUGGGGAGCAAACAGGAUUAGAUACCCCGGUAGUCCAA
rnacentral:rRNA from 1 species